rnacentral:sRNA from 1 species
CUUAUUGCCCUGGCUAUAAUUUCAUGUGCUAUAUUGAAUAAGAGCACUAAGACUAGACAUUCUUGUCUCAUUCCUGAUUUUUGAGGCUCUGUUUUUAGUUUUUCCCAUUCAGUGUGAUCAUAGUUGUGGGUUUAGCAUAUAUAGAUUCUAUUAUAGUCAAAUAGGUUUCUAUAUCUUUUCUUUUUUACCUACCACUGUAAUAUUUGAUACUAAGUUUUAUUCUUUGAGAGCUUCAUAGAGUCUACAAUGAAAUGUGAUCAUAUCUAUCUCCCAUUUGCUCCCCCCAAGUCCCUCUGGGCCUCCCUGUAAUGACCACCUCUAUUCUUUUAAUAUUCCACUGAGUCAAAUUAGUGCUGCUCAUAUGUGAACAAUUGGGGUUAUGAGGUCAUCCAAUGGAACAUAGGUGACACCCUCAAGAACAAUGACUCUCCCUCCUCUGGUAGCUAUCAAUUGCCAAUAGCUCUUCAGUAAAGGGUGAGGCCUUUUAAGUUCCUCCCUCAUCUAUGCUGGAAGUUUGGAUUCCUUAUUCUUGUACAGGUCUUAUGCCAGUAACCAUAGCUCCUGUGAAUUCAUGAGUGCCAUAUUCUUGUCACAUCCAGAAAACAGCACUUCUAGCAACCCUCUCCAUCCUCCAGUUCUUAAAUUCCUCUGCCUUUUCUUUUGGAAUGUUCCCUGAACUUGGGAGAAUGAUGUCACUCACUGAUACUAUUUUGGAGCCUAUCUAUUCCUUCUGUUCCUUAGUGUCUCAUGAACCUGAGAGACACGAAGUUUAAUGUAUCACAAAAUGGAGUAUUUCUUCUAUGUCAGGUCAAAGGAGCCCCUUUCUCCGGUCAUGGGAGAUAAUGCCAACAAAUAAUGCAAUGGAGAUAUGCUUGAAAUCGUGUCUCCUGUUUCUGCUGUCCCAAUGAGAAGAUGGACAGCAUUUAGAACGUUUUCUGAAGAACAGAAGAAAGGCUCAAUCCUCUUCUACACAUUACAAGCAACAGCCUUCCUCUACCAGUCAUAACAACAAAGUCUUCUGGAGUGGUAUGAGUUAUUGUUCUAUGUUUAGCAAAAACAAAUAAAGCUUUAUUUAA